rnacentral:rRNA from 1 species
AAUAUUUCAUAAUGGAGGGAACUCUGAUGCAGCCACGCCGCGCGUGUGAAGAAGUUCUUCGGAUCGUAAAACUCUGUCCUUUGUGUAGAUAAUGACUGUAGCCAAGGAGGAAGCCCCGGCUAACUACGUGCCAGCAGCCGCGGUAAUACGUAGGGGGCGAGCGUUGUCCGGAAUUACUGGGCCUAAAGGGUGAGUUGGCGGUUGUAUAGGUCAGGUGUAAAAGACUAAGGCUUAACCAAAGAUAGCACGUGAAACAGUAUGACUUGAAUGCAAGAGGGGUUAGUGGAAUCAAUAGUGUUGCGGUGAAAUGCGUAGAUAUUAGGAGGAAAAACAGUGGGGAAGGGGACUUACUGGACUGUAACUGACGCUGAGUCACGAAAGCGUGGGUAGCAAAAAA